CACACGCUGCGGAACUCUGGA
rnacentral:piRNA from 1 species